rnacentral:rRNA from 1 species
UACGAGGGGAGCAAGCGUUGUUCGGAUUUACUGGGCGUAAAGGGCGCGUAGGCGGCCACCGCAAGUCGACUGUGAAAUCUCCGGGCUUAACCCGGAAAGGUCAGCCGAUACUGCGGGGCUAGAGUGCAGAAGGGGCAACUGGAAUUCUCGGUGUAGCGGUGAAAUGCGUAGAUAUCGAGAGGAACGCCUGCGGCGAAGGCGGGUUGCUGGGCUGACACUGACGCCGAGGCGCGAAAGCUAGGGGAGCGAACGGG